GCUGGCUGGUGGCACCGGCCACGCGCGAUGCGCUCGCCGCGCGUCUGCACCGUCAAAGCAAGGAUGUGAUGCUGGCGUUCUACACGCAACUGCCGGUG
rnacentral:tRNA from 1 species